CAGUCAACGAUGAUCACUAAGUUUUGGUGAGAUUAUUAAAUCAUCAGAGCUGCCGCCAAAUGCAUUUAAGUGAUCCGCCUGGGGAGUACGUCCGCAAGGAUGAAACUCAAAGGAAUUGACGGGGACCCGCACAAGCGGUGGAGUAUGUUCUUUAAUUCGAUGCAACGCGAAGAACCUUACCUGGGCUUGACAUCACCGAAAUCACCUUUAUGCGGUGAGUGCCUCGAUUUAUCGAGGAAUCGUGUGACAGGUGCUGCAUGGCUGUCGUCAGUUCGUGUCGUGAGAUGUUGGGUUAAGUCCCGCAACGAACGCAACCCCUGUCUUUAGUUACCAGCAUUAAGUUGGGGACUCUAGAGAGACUGCCAAGGUGACAACUUGGAGGAAGGUGGGGACGACGUCAAGUCAUCAUGGUCCUUACGUCCAGGGCUAGAAACGUACUACAAUGGUUGGCACAGAGGGCAGCAACACAGCGAUGUGAAGCAAAUCCUUAAAACCAACCUCAGUUCGGAUCGGAGUCUGCAACUCGACUCCAUGAAGUUGGAAUCGCUAGUAAUCGCGGAUCAGCAAUGCCGCGGUGAAUACGUUCCCGGGUCUUGUACACACCGCCCGUCAAUGCAA
rnacentral:rRNA from 1 species